GCUUUAAAGAAGUGCUUACCGUUAUAACAGACUUUUCUAUUUCUUUCGGUAAUUGCAGUUUUUUAUUUAUUUCAGCGAUGUAUGUGUGCAGUCUCUGUGGUACCACCAAGACGUCUGUGCCACGUUUCACGAAGUAUGCCGCACUGCACGAAAACCUGAAUGCAUUCUACAUGAAGUGCCCAUUGGAACAGCACAGAAAAGUGUUCCGUGAGUUCCUUCUCUGAGCUAGUGCUACGAGAUACCGAGGACGAAAAUAAGACUGUAAAGAAAACGAAGAGUCCAAAAGGAUUUAUAUGGUUUUGUGUCAUGGAAGCCCAAAUUACCUGCACUAAGACACAACAUAAUGGAUUACACUAAGUUGGCACUGAUGCUAUAGUGCCCUAAGGUGGUGCUGCAUCUCGAGCUACCAGAAGGCAAGUACAAGUGAAGAUAACGUCGGAGACGUGCCGUGCUCCCCUUUCAUCAUUGCCAAAGGAGAGAACUUUCUCACUGCCGGGGUAGUUACCAUCUGUAUUGAUACCCAUGCUGUGAUCGAAUCCACCACACGAUGCCAGACAUUCAAGUUGAUGUUCUUUACAUACUUCGGCUUUACUAUUGAUACCGCAAGGAGGUUCGCCUAACCCUGGUGUUCACACAAAGGGCAGCCGCAGCAGUCAACCCUAACAGAGGGAGCAAGGUCGAGAAGUCAAGGAAGCAGCGCCACCUCACACCACAAAAACCAACUUAAUCAAAGUUCUGCGAGACUAUGAAUGCUAAGUGUUACAACGAAAAAUUUACAGUGUCAUUAUGAAUAUACCGUAUUUACUCGAAUCUAAGCCGAUGUUUU
rnacentral:lncRNA from 1 species